AGGCUCUGUUCAUUUCUUCCCAAUUGGCGUCUGAACCACUUGGCGCUCCGUGACGGCCCAACGCCUCCACUCCCUUGCCGCCGCCGGCGAUCACUCGCACCACCGCCUCCACAGAAAGAUGACGACGGAGGGCGCUCCGGAGAGGGCUGCGGGCACCACCAGGCUCGCCUACUUCGAUGACAUGUGGGCCCUCCGCUCCCCCGCCACCGUCCUCGCCGUCCACCAGACCCUAGGCCGGGCCCUGGCUAAGGUAAGCUCCUGGUGUCUGCAGGAGGAGGGCGGCCGGCGAGCGGUGGUGCUGGACGCCACGGUCUUCCACCCGCAGGGCGGCGGCCAGCCAGCGGACACCGGCGCCAUAUCCGCCGCUGGCGCUAGGUUCCUCGUCGACGAUGUGCGGGCAAAGGAUGGAGUGGUUUUCCACUAUGGAAGAUUUGAGGGUGCUGGAGAAGGAUGCAAGGAUGAAUUCAACGAAGGGGAAAGCGUUAGCUUGGAAGUCGACGCAGAACGGCGUACGUUGAAUUCCAGGCUUCAUUCUGCAGGCCAUUUGUUGGACAUCUGUAUGCGUAAUGUAGGCCUGUCUCAUCUGGAACCUGGGAAAGGCUAUCAUUUUCCUGAUGGAGCUUUUGUUGAAUAUAAAGGAGUUGUUCCACCAGAUCAGUUACAAGAUAAGCAAAAUGAGCUAGAAAGAGAAGCUAAUAAGCUAAUUUCGGAAGGAGCCAAGGUGUUAGCUUCCGUUUUUCCUUAUGAUGAGGCAGCUCAAUUAUGUGGUGGUUAUCUGCCUAGCUACAUUUCAAAGUUCUUUUUUGAGGGGAGUGGCUCUACAAUUGUGUAUGUCAUCAACAUUUGUUCGUGGCCUAAUGUUUUUUACCUCAGGAUAGCACCCCUCGAAUUGUGAAAUUUGGUGAUUACCCUGGUUGUCCUUGUGGUGGUACUCAUGUUGCGGACAUCUCAAUCAUCAAUAGCCUAAAGGUGACAAAUAUACGAGUCAAGAAAGGCCUCACCAAAGUCUCUUACAGCAUCAGCACAUGAUUUUUCAUGCACUUCUCACUCUUGGAACUGAACUUGUCAGAGAAAUGAAUGGGAAAAGAUUAAGUGAUUCAGAAGGCUGAUAUCAGUGGCUUCAUAAAUUUACCUGUAUUGGUUAAUACUCUGAAAAUUUGUGGUUAGCUCUUUGAUGGAAACAUCUCCUCUUGUAUCCUGUGUCUGUCAUAGCAGAGCAGCAGUUCUGCUUUCUCAUGUAUCACAUACCUAUGAAAUUGUAAUAAAAUUACCAGAUUUCCCUU